UCGUUGGGCUUCGGCCCAUUCGAGAUAACACCCUUGCCUUUUUGAGUACCUUUUCGUUUCCUCGGCAGGCUCGCCUGCCAACGGGGACCCUUCAAAACGCUUUGUAAUACCUGUAAUUGUCUGAUAUAACAAGCAAAAAUCA
rnacentral:misc_RNA from 1 species